GAGGGUACAGCUCAAGUGGUAGAGCGCGUGCUUAGCAUGCAUGAGGUCCUGGGUUCGAUCCCCAGUACGUCCU
rnacentral:tRNA from 1 species